GAUGAACGCUGGCGGCGUGCCUAACACAUGCAAGCCGAACGGUGAAGGGGGAACUUGUUCUUCUGGCACAGUGGCGAAGGGGUGAGUACGCCGAGAGCACCUUGCCUCUACAUGAGGGAUACGCGCUGGAAACGGGGUUUAUUACUCGAAACGAGCCGCAGAGGCAUCUUUAGCAGCUGAAAAGCACAACGGGGAGUGGUUAGCUCGUGGCCUAGCAGAUGGUUGUGGAGGGAAUGGAUCUCCAAGGCGUCGACGGGUAGCCGGCCUGAGAGGGUGACCGGCCCCCGUGGGACUGAGCCACGGGCCAGAGCCGUACGGGAGACAGCAGUGGGGAAUAUUGCACGAUGGGCGCAAGCCGGAUGCAGCAACGCCGCGUGAGGGAUGACGGCCUUCGGGUUGUAAACCUCUUUUAGCGGGAAACGAGCGAAAGUGACGGUACCUGCAGAAAAAGCGCCGGCUAACUACGUG
rnacentral:rRNA from 1 species